GUGUGACCCUGGGCAAAUCACAUAAUAACAAUAACGAAAAUAAAGAGAGCAUAGGCAGUAUUUCAUAUAAUGCUUUAAAAUUUGCAAAACUUUGCAAAACAUGGUAUCACUGUUUUUUCAUUUAAUUCUUACAACUUUGAGGAAGUAGAUAGUAUUAUUCCCAUUUUACAUAUGGAGAAACUGAAGCUGAGAAUGACCUCAUCAACAUGAAGGGGAGUGGACUAGAGGCACUCUAUAGCUCCUUCAAAUUCUAAAUUCUCUGCAUUAUUUUUUUUCUCUGCCUUCCAUCUUUGGAAAUUUGCCUCAUGGCCAAUCAUAUGCCAGAUUAAGACCACGUCCGGCUGUAGGGGGAGCCCUUAUCCAACAUCUCAAGGGCCAUGAUGCCGGCAGUCAUGAUACCGGAACCACAGGACUGAAUGAAGGGACCCCUUUCCAAGGAGGCGCCUUUGAAAACUCUUCUGUUGGGCCAUUUCAACUGUCAACUGAUCUUGAGUUCUGUUUACAUUAAGACAAUGAAGGAGGGGGUGCUUUGUGUUAAUUACACUGAUAAAACUUUCCUGACAGAAUGUCUCCUUGGUAAAUCCCAAGAAAAUAUUUGACAUCUCUCCUUGCAUCAAUGACGCUCUGCCAAGCAAAUAUUUCCUAAGGUAAGGGGUGCCAUUCCUGGCUCUGCCUGUGGCUUUUCAUAGCCUCAUCACCUGCUGCAAAGCAAACCUCCUCGUGUAAAUCCCUGUGUUGACAGUUCAGAUGUUUUUUCGUCCUUUUACAAUGGACUGGAACUUAACUGUGUUGGGUGUUAAAGCAGCUUUGCUGGAGGGUCUGCUCUUAAAAUUCCUCAACCUCUGUUGGCUUGUGCUGGAAAACCAAGAGAUCUCCCAAAGUGCUUUGGAAGAAGAGAGGAAGGGGUUGAAGGAGCUGUGGUUCAAAAAUCACUUAGCUUUAGUCUUACAAAACAGAGGGCCUCUUCUCACUAAGAUAGGAGAAAUAAUAAAGAAAUAGA
rnacentral:lncRNA from 1 species